GUGGGUUAGUGAGGAGAGACAAAGAGAGGUGUGUAGGUGCGGUAAGAGAGAAAGCAGAGGAUUUGGAUUUUCUUCUGAUUUUGACUACUUAAAGAGGAGGCGGAGCCAGCAUCAAACAUGCGGUCAGUUCCAGACCUUCAGGAAGAAGAAGGAAGGUUCAGCGGACUUGUACGUCAUGGAACAGAGUGGCUCAGAUGACUGAGAAGCGCAAUGCAGCUCAAAAAGAGCAACAAAGUGGCCCCGCUCCAGCCCAAGGAGCAGCCUCCUGUGGCACCACUUGUGACAAAGCUCUUCAAGAGCUUUCCAGAGCUCGAGAAGGCACUAGCCCGAAACCGGGCCCGUAUUAGACCAGCACCUGAAGAGGACAUAACUGUAGAAGAUCUGGAAUGAGUGUCCGGCGUGACGGGUCAAGGGAAGGCGCUCUGUUUUGCAAAAGUUAAAAGGGAGUAAGGGAAGAAUGAGGGUGAUGAGAUCAAGGUAACCCUCCAGCCUCUCCUGAGCUGCAGAGGCUCAGGGCAGAGAGGCGGAAGGAACUAAGUUCCCGCAGGAGAAGUGCUUGUCUCCAGACCAGGAGAGGCAAGUCACCAGAGGAUCGUGGCCGCCCUAUGCCUCAGGGCAGAUAAAAGCCGGCCAGCCCCAGUCCCAAGUUGUGGGAGCAACAUUGUUGGUUGCUAGUUCCUGCCUGAACCUGUCCUGAUUUCCUGCCUGAGCUCCUGACCCGCCCUGGUUCCCUGCUUGCAAGCCUGUUCCUGACUUCACACGACUCCCUGCCCUGCACCCAGCUUCAGCUACUAUGGACUGCCUCCACGUUGCACCUUUGACCACUUGGACUUAGCUGAUUCCCCCCCCCCCUUGAUGGAACACCAUAUUUUCUGAAACCCAAAUAAAAA
rnacentral:lncRNA from 1 species